GACGAACGCUGGCGGCGUGCCUAAUACAUGCAAGUUGAGCGAUGAAGAUUGGUGCUUGCACCAAUUUGAAGAGCAGCGAACGGGUGAGUAACGCGUGGGGAAUCUGCCUUUGAGCGGGGGACAACAUUUUGAAACGAAUGCUAAUACCGCAUAACAACUUUAAACAUAAGUUUUAAGUUUGAAAGAUGCAAUUGCAUCACUCAAAGAUGAUCCCGCGUUGUAUUAGCUAGUUGGUGAGGUAAAGGCUCACCAAGGCGAUGAUACAUAGCCGACCUGAGAGGGUGAUCGGCCACAUUGGGACUGAGACACGGCCCAAACUCCUACGGGAGGCAGCAGUAGGGAAUCUUCGGCAAUGGACGAAAGUCUGACCGAGCAACGCCGCGUGAGUGAAGAAGGUUUUCGGAUCGUAAAACUCUGUUGGUAGAGAAGAACGUUGGUGAGAGUGGAAAGCUCAUCAAGUGACGGUAACUACCCAGAAAGGGACGGCUAACUACGUG
rnacentral:rRNA from 1 species